rnacentral:rRNA from 1 species
AACGAACGCUGGCGGCGUGGAUAAGACAUGCAAGUCGAACGGGACAGACCGAGUAGCAAUAUUUGGAAUGUUCAGUGGCGAACGGGUGCGUAACACGUGGAUAACAUUCCGGAAAGCGGGGAAUAGACCAGGGAAACUUGGAUUAAUACCGCAUGUGGCCGCAAGGCUAAAGACGGGGACCGCAAGGACUGUCACUUUCCGAUUGGUCCGCGGCCUAUCAGCUAGUUGGCGGGGUAAUGGCCCACCAAGGCCACGAGCGGUAGCUGGUCUUAGAGGACGACCAGCUACACUGGAACUGAGACACGGUCCAGACACCUACGGGUGGCAGCAGUCGAGAAUCUUUCACAAUGGGGGCAACCCUGAUGGAGCGACGCCGCGUGGAGGAUAAGGUCUUCGGACUGUAAACUCCUGUCAUGCGAGAACAAGGUACUCAGGCUAAUAACCUGAUUGUUUGAUGGUACCGCAAGAGGAAGAGACGGCUAACUCUGUGCCAGCCGCCGCCGUAAGAC